CUCAUGGUUUCACGGUAUUGCAAUGAGAACAAUUUAAAACCCUUAGCGGGAAUCAAGUGGAGGGCAAGUCUGGUGCCAGCACCCGCGGUAAUUCCAGCUCCACUAGCGUAUAUUAAAGUUGUUGCAGUUAAAAAGCUCGUAGUUGAACCUCUGUCUGGGGCUAGUUUUGGCUUUGGUCAGGCUAGUUCUAGGCAUCCGCCUACAAGACUUAGAGGGCAUUCAGUUGUUCACUAGGAGGAGUAGGCAUUUUACUUUGAAAAAAUUAGAGUGUUUAAGGCAGGCAAUCGCCCGCAUAUAUUAGCAUGGAAUAAUAGAAUAGGACACUUUUCCAUUUCGUUGGUUAUUGGAAUCGUGUAAUGAUUAAUAGGGACAGUUGUGGGCAUUUGUAUUUAAUUGUCAGAGGUGAAAUUCUUGGAUUUAUUAAAGACAAACUAACGCGAAAGCAUUUGCCAAGGAUGUUUUCAUUAAUCAAGAACGAAAGUUAGGGGAUCAAAGACGAUCAGAUACCGUCCUAGUCUUAACUAUAAACUAUUCCGACUCAAUGUUUGACUGGCUUAUAUAACCAGUUGAGCGUUGUAUGAGAAAUCAAAGUCUUUAGGUUCUGGGGGGAGUAUGGUUGCAAAGCUGAAACUUAAAGGAAUUGACGGAAGAGCACAACCAGGAGUGGAUUCUGCGGCUUAAUUUGACUCAACACGGGGAAACUUACCAGGUUAAAACAAUAGUGGGAUUGACAGUUUGAGAGCGCUUUCUUGAUUGGUUGGGUGGUGGUGCAUGGCCGUUCUUAGUUGGUGGAGUGAUUUGUCUGCUUAAUUGCGUUAACGAACGAGACCUUAACCUGCUUACUAGACUGGCGAUCAUCAAUCGUUAGCUCUUCUUAGAGGGACUUUGGUUGUUUUAACUCCAAGGAAGUUUGAGGCAAUAACAGGUCUGUGAUGCCCUUAGAUAUCCUGGGCCGCACGCGUCAUACAAUGACUAGUUCAGAAAGUUUUCUCCUGACCCGAAAGGGGAUGGGUAAUCUUGAUAAUACUAGUCGUGUUAGGGAUCGAUCUUUGCAAUUAUAGAUCUUGAACGAGGAAUUCCUAGUAAGUGCGGUCAUCAGACCGUACUGAUUACGUCCCUGCUCUUUGUACACACCGCCCGUCGCUUCUACCGAGUGGGUGGUCCGGUGAGAUAAUUGAACUUCGCAGGUAACUGAGAGGAAAGAUUAUCAAACCUAUCCACCU
rnacentral:rRNA from 1 species